rnacentral:rRNA from 1 species
CAGCCGCCACGGGAAUACGAAGGGGGCUAGCGUUGUUCGGAAUCACUGGGCGUAAAGGGUGCGUAGGCGGGCAUUUAAGUCAGGGGUGAAAUCCCGAGGCUCAACCUCGGAACUGCCCUUGAUACUGGGUGUCUUGAGUCCGGAAGAGGUGAGUGGAACUGCGAGUGUAGAGGUGAAAUUCGUAGAUAUUCGCAAGAACACCGGUGGCGAAGGCGGCUCACUGGUCCGGAACUGACGCUGAGGCACGACAGCGUGGGGAGCAAACAGGAUUAGAUACCCCCGUAGUCCCUGUCUCUUAUAC